UCCGGGAGACACACGGCGGGUGCUAACGUCCGUCGUGGAGAGGGAAACAACCCAGACCGCCAGCUAAGGUCCCAAAAUAUUGCUAAGUGGGAAACGAUGUGGGAAGGCAUAGACAGCUAGGAGGUUGGCUUAGAAGCAGCCAUCCUUUAAAGAAAGCGUAAUAGCUCACUAGUCGAGUCGGCCUGCGCGGAAGAUGUAACGGGGCUAAGCAAUAUACCGAAGCUGCGGCAGCAAGUUUACUUGCUGGGUAGGGGAGCGUUGUGUAAGUGGAUGAAGGUGAGUUGUAAAGCUUGCUGGACAUAUCACAAGUGCGAAUGCUGACAUGAGUAACGAUAAUGGGAGUGAAAAACUCCCACGCCGGAAGACCAAGGUUUCCUGUCCCAUGCUAAUCAGGGCAGGGUAAGUCGGCCCCUAAGGCGAGGCAGAAAUGCGUAGUCGAUGGGAAACGGAUUAAUAUUUCCGUACUUAUAUAAUCAGUGAUGGAGGGACGGAGAAGGCUAGGCAAGCUUGGCGUUGGUUGUCCAAGUGAAAGCGAGUAGGCCGAGAAUUUAGGUAAAUCCGGAUUCUUAAAGCUGAGACGCGAGACGAGCUCCCAAGGGAGUGAAGUUGUUGAUGCCCUGCUUCCAGGAAAAGCUUCUAAACUUAUGAUUAUAUGAACCGUACCCCAAACCGACACAGGUGGUCAGGUAGAGAAUACUAAGGCGCUUGAGAGAACUCGGGUGAAGGAACUCGGCAAAAUUGUACCGUAACUUCGGGAGAAGGUACGCCUCUGUUUG
rnacentral:rRNA from 1 species